UAUAUUCAUGCAUCCAAACAACUUUUAGAUGUAGAAGUUAAUCACUUCUUUGACAAGAACGUGAACAGAUUAAAAUUCGUAUGAUUGCCUCUAUUUGAAUCGUAUUCAAAAUAAAAAAUACAAACAUCGAUCGAGCAAGCACAUAGACACAUAACUCUUGAAUAUAUCAGCAUAUAAUCAUAUUAUGCAUAAUCAGAUUCG
rnacentral:lncRNA from 1 species